AGGCGGUUCUCUAAGAGGCCCGCUAUCGGAAUGGGUACAAUUUAAACCCUUUAACGAGGACCUAUGAGAGGGCAAGUCUGGUGCCAGCAGCCGCGGUAAUUCCAGCUCUCAAGGUGUAUAUCGCCAUUGCUGCGGUUAAAAAGCUCGUAGUUGGAUCUGCGCCUUCGGACUCGGUCCUCCCAACGGGUGCGAACUGAGCUCCAAGGCUACUACUGCUGGUUUUCCCUUGAUGCUCUUCACUGGGUGUCUUGGGUGGCUAGCGAGUUUACUUUGAAAAAAUUAGAGUGCUCAAAACAGGCUAUUGCCUGAAUACCGGUGCAUGGAAUAAUAGAAUAGGAUCUCGGUCCUAUUUUGUUGGUUUUCGGAACUGAGAUAAUGGUUAAGAGGGACAGACGGGGGCAUUCGUAUCGCUGCGUGAGAGGUGAAAUUCUUGGACCGCAGCGAGACGCCCAACUGCGAAAGCAUUUGCCAAGAAUGUCUUCGUUAAUCAAGAACGAAAGUCAGAGGUUCGAAGGCGAUCAGAUACCGCCCUAGUUCUGACCGUAAACGAUGCCAACUAGCGAUCCGCCGGUGGUAAUUACGCCCCGGCGGGGAGCUUCCCGGAAACGAAAGUCUUCCGGUUCUGGGGGAAGUAUGGUUGCAAAGCUGAAACUUAAAGGAAUUGACGGAAGGGCACCACCAGGAGUGGAGCUUGCGGCUUAAUUUGACCCAACACGGGAAAACUCACCCGGCCCGGACACCGUAAGGAUUGACAGAUUGAGAGCUCUUUCUUGAUUCGGUGGUUGGUGGUGCAUGGCCGUUCUUAGUUGGUGGAGCGAUUUGUCUGGUUUAUUCCGAUAACGAACGAGACUCUGGCCUACUAACUAGUGACAGAAUUAUUGCUGUUCUGGUUACUUCUUAGAGGGACAAGUGGUGUUCAGCCACACGAAAUUGAGCAAUAACAGGUCUGUGAUGCCCUUAGAUGUCCGGGGCUGCACGCGUGCUACACUGGAGGAAACAGCAUGCAAAACCAUUGCCGAGAGGCAUUGGUAAACCCAAGAAAAUCUUCCGUGAUCGGGAUCGGGAAUUGCAAUUAUUUCCCUUGAACGAGGAAUUCCCAGUAAGUGUGGGUCAUCAGCUCGCGCUGAUUACGUCCCUGCCCUUUGUACACACCGCCCGUCGCUGCCCGGGACUGAGCCGUUUCGAGAAAAGCGGGGACUGCUGCUGUUGGGGCUUUCGGGCCUUGGCUUCGGUGGGAACCGCUU
rnacentral:rRNA from 1 species